CACACGUGGGGUUUGGGACGUUUCGGGAGACAUCCGUUGCGUUCCGCCCGGUGGCAGGGUCAUCCGAGCCUGCUGUUUUCCCCACGGAGGUUCAACCGGAAAAGGAUAAACGG
rnacentral:sRNA from 1 species